rnacentral:rRNA from 1 species
UACGAAGGGGGCUAGCGUUGCUCGGAAUCACUGGGCGUAAAGGGUGCGUAGGCGGGUCUUUUAAGUCAGGGGUGAAAUCCUGGAGCUCAACUCCAGAACUGCCUUUGAUACUGAAGAUCUUGAGUUCGGGAGAGGUGAGUGGAACUGGCGAGUGUAGAGGUGAAAUUCGUAGAUAUUCGCAAGAACACCAGUGGCGAAGGCGGCUCACUGGCCCGAUACUGACGCUGAUGCACGAAAGCGUGGGGAGCAAACAGG